rnacentral:rRNA from 1 species
UCGGUUCACCGAGAAAUGGGAGUGGCGAACGGGUGAGUAACACGUGGGUAACCUACCCAUCAGCGGGGGAUAACACUUGGAAACAGGUGCUAAUACCGCAUAAUUCUUUUCUUCGCCUGGAGGAAAGAUGAAAGACGCUUUUGCGUCACUGAUGGAUGGACCCGCGCUGCAUUAGCUAGUUGGUGGGGUAACGGCUCACCAAGGCCACGAUGCAUAGCCGACCUGAGAGGGUGAUCGGCCACACUGGGACUGAGACACGGCCCAGACUCCUACGGGAGGCAGCAGUAGGGAAUCUUCGGCAAUGGACGAAAGUCUGACCGAGCAACGCCGCGUGAGUGAAGAAGGUUUUCGGAUCGUAAAACUCUGUUGUUAGAGAAGAAUAAGGAUGAGAGUAGAAUGUUCAUCCCUUGACGGUAUCUAACCAGAAAGCCACGGCUAACUACGUGCCAGCAGCCGCGGUAAUACGUAGGUGGCAAGCGUUGUCCAGAUUUAUUGGGCGUAAAGCGAGCGCAGGCGGUUUCUUAAGUCUGAUGUGAAAGCCCCCGGCUUAACCGGGGAGGGUCAUUGGAAACUGGGAGACUUGAGUGCAGAAGAGGAGAGUGGAAUUCCAUGUGUAGCGGUGAAAUGCGUAGAUAUAUGGAGGAACACCAGUGGCGAAGGCGACUCUCUGGUCUGUAACUGACGCUGAGG